rnacentral:rRNA from 1 species
AACGAACGCUGGCGGCAGGCUUAACACAUGCAAGUCGAACGGAUGUAGCAAUACAGCAGUGGCAGAGGGGUGAGUAACACGUGGGAACCUUCCUAGGGGUACGGAACAACUCAGGGAAACUUGAGCUAAUACCGUAUACGUCCGUGAGGAGAAAGAUUUAUCGCCCUUAGACGGGCCCGCGUCGGAUUAGCUAGUUUGUGGAGUAACGGCCUACCAAGGCGACGAUCCGGAGCUGAUCUUAGAGGAUGAUCAGCCACACCGGGACUGAGACACGGACCAGUCGCCUACGGGAGGCAGCAGUGGGGAAUCUUGGACAAUGGGCGCAAGCGUGAUCCAGCCAUGCCGCGUGAGUGAAGAAGGUCUUCGGAUUGUAAAGCUCUUUUGCCAGGGACGAUAAUGACGGUACCUUGAGAAUAAGCCCCGGCAAACUUCGUGCCAGCAGCCGCGGUAA